AUGUAAGCAAUAUAAAUAUAUAAAUAAUUAUAUAACAAAUAUUACUUGUGUUAUAAAUUACUUUUUAUGAUGUAGCUUUACAUCUGCAUCCACUUUUGCAUUCACAUCCGCAUUCACAUUCGAUACAUGAAUUUUAUAUUUUAUUGAAUGAAUUUAUCAGUUUCUAAACGAAUGCGGUUUACUAAAAUAUUAUUGUGUACUACAUUUAAAACUACUUAAUUUAAUUAUUAAAUUGUACUAGCUAUUAUUAUUAUUUUUUGUACUUAAACUUUGGUUCCUUAGCAAUAUUAUUUUCUGCUGUAGCAAUAUCUCCUGAUUGUGUAUGCCAGCUGUGUUCCAUACGAUUGUAUCCCAAAAGCAUAGGCUCAUUAUUCAGAAAAUUAUGCUCCGUUGUCCCAUAUGCCAUUGCCCUUAAGCAGAGUAUUUGUGGUUUGGCAUAUCCAUCCACGCUCACAUUCGAAUGCCAGCAAACCCCGAUGUAAUGUAAGACUCGACCGGCUCAUACUCAGAAUUGAUCUCUAUAUGCAAAUAAUCAAUAUAUUUAUAAAUAUAAAUUAUUGUAUAAUCUCAGAAAUGUGAUAGCCACGAAAUUUAUCUACAUAUCCAAGUAAAACUAAAUAUUUUGUAAAAAUUUAUUUUUAACGUUUUAUCUUGCUGAUGGUAAAACAUUAGUUUUAUUUAUUAUUUUCAAUGGAAUACAUAUUUAUUCCGCUGGGACUUCCAUGGUACCAUUGUUAAUUUCGU